rnacentral:lncRNA from 1 species
UCCGGUCACUUUUUCGCGGGGAUCGUUUAUCUCGUGCUUGAACUCAAUGUCCAGACUUGGAUAUUUAAACCUCGUCAGGGCAGUAUUUCUUUAGAUUGGGGAAAACUUUCGUACUGGAAAGUUGUACUUUAAAUUUCAUUUUAUUUUGUAUUUUGAUGUUUGACUUAAAUAUUUAUUUCUUCUAAUUUGAUAUAUUUCUUUUCGGUCUUGUAGUCAAACAGUUCUAAAAUAUUAAAUUACGUUUCCGUUCCAGAAUAAAUAGAGGGAAUUGUACACUAGCUAGAUAUUUUAUGAUUUCGGGUUUAUAAAGAGAUGGAGUUCAUUUUGAUAGCGAUAUUUAAACAGAUGGCUAAUCCGAGGGGUAUUUUGGAGUAACGGUCUUCAAUCUACAGAAUUGUUCGUGCCUUACUCUGAAAUAGAAUUUUGUAUUAUCGCAUGUUUUGGUUUUGGAUCUUGAACUGGUCAAUGAUAUUGAAAAACGUUUUCAGACAUUGCUCUGAUUGGAUUGAAAAUUAAACAGGUAUAGAGAAAUGCGAUGUUUUUUUUACUGGAUCGAUUUUUGUUCCCUAGUCAUAGAAUAAUGAGGUUCAUGAUCUAGUCUAACAAAGUCGGUGGGAACCAGUGGGUAUAAUUAUUUUGUCUCGGAAGGUUGACGUCACAACUUGAUUGAUUGGA